GAAAGAGGAGAGUGAAAAAGUUGGCUUAUCCCUGACCUAUACAGGCCUGUGCUAUGGGGGUGAUGGCCAGUCUUGGUGUCUGAGUGAUU